rnacentral:tRNA from 1 species
GGGUUUGUGGCUCAGUGGUAGAGCACUUGCCUAGCAUGUGUGAGGCACUGGGUUCAAUUCUCAGCACCA